GACGGAAGGAAGGAAGCAAGGAAGAAGAAAGGAAAGAAUUGGUCGUAAUUUUGUUCGUUGCUCACCAAACCCGGCAAGGACACACGUCUCUGAAUUUCUUGUUUUUUUUUUUCUUUUUU
rnacentral:ribozyme from 1 species